UCUUGAUUGACGUUUACAUUGGCUAACAAAAUCUUUCACUUCUACCACGCUGGAAUUUCAUAAAAAGAAAUGACAAAAUAUUUCCAAUUUUAUUAUCCUUUAAAAUGAAUUAUUUUUGCCUGUUUGACCUGUUAAGCCGAAUUUUCAGUUUCCCACAAGUGUUUUUUUUUUUUUUUCUUUCUUUCCAGUUUCAGUGCUGCUGCUGCUGCUGCUGCUGCGUCGCUACAGUUGUGUCCGACUCUGUGCGACCCCAUAGAUGGCUACAGAUGGAGAAUUUAGGCUUGGAAAAGAGGGCAGUUUUCAAUUUAGCUACGUUCAGCAACCUACAAAUCAGUCUGCAAGGCACUGUGAGGAAGACAGCUUUCAGACCUCGGCUAUAUUGCAGGUGAUCCUGCCAAGAACCGUGAAGUACAGAUGCUCUGAAACCUUUGAUGAGAACAACAUCAAAAGUGAGUUUCUCUUUGAGCAAGAUACUUGAAAGCGAAAACUUAGCUGAUGGCAUCAUGUCACAGAGUUCUUUUUAAAUAAUAAAAAGAAAUUAGGCCAGGGCAAUAUUCAUUUCCUCAUUGCAUGAAAUUAGAUCUCAACUAAGAAUAGAUGCAUGACAGAGAAAUAAUCUGUACAUUCUUGUAAACUUGAAAAAUCGCAAAAUAAAACAGCCACAAAACACUCCCAUUUCUAUAGAUUUUUGUUGUUUUUGUUAUUGUUGUUUAGUUGCUAAGUCACGUCCUACUCUUUUUGAC
rnacentral:lncRNA from 1 species